rnacentral:tRNA from 1 species
GCUUUGGUAGCACAAUGGUUAAGCACUUGGCUGCUAACCAAAAUGUUGGUGGCUCGAACCCAUCCAGCAGCU